rnacentral:rRNA from 1 species
GAUGAACGCUGGCGGCGUGCCUAAUACAUGCAAGUCGAGCGAACAGACGAGGAGCUUGCUCCUCUGACGUUAGCGGCGGACGGGUGAGUAACACGUGGAUAACCUACCUAUAAGACUGGGAUAACUUCGGGGAACCGGAGCUAAUACCGGAUAAUAUAUUGAACCGCAUGGUUCAAUAGUGAAAGACGGUUUUGCUGUCACUUAUAGAUGGAUCCGCGCCGCAUUAGCUAGUUGGUAAGGUAACGGCUUACCAAGGCGACGAUGCGUAGCCGACCUGAGAGGGUGAUCGGCCACACUGGAACUGAGACACGGUCCAGACUCCUACGGGAGGCAGCAGUAGGGAAUCUUCCGCAAUGGGCGAAAGCCUGACGGAGCAACGCCGCGUGAGUGAUGAAGGUCUUCGGAUCGUAAAACUCUGUUAUUAGGGAAGAACAAAUGUGUAAGUAACUAUGCACGUCUUGACGGUACCUAAUCAGAAAGCCACGGCUAACUACGU